UUACGCUGCUCUUCUCUAGGUUUCCUGCGGCCCAAAUAUCGAAGCUUAUUUGCCCGACCGGCCAGACCUUUGGCCUUUCUCUGCAGACGGGGAUGCGUAGCCACUGGGAAGGUGAGCUGCAGACUGACACCUGGGUGACCAGUGCUUUGUCGUUCCCCUGAGAUGAGGGUGAAGAUGAGACUCGUGUGAUCCCAGAAAGGAGAAUGGAACUGUUCCCUGCUGCCUGAACUGAAGCUCAUUUGCCCGACCGGCCCUCAGACCACCCGGUCGGACCCUUGGCCUUGCUCUGCGGACGGGGGGGUGCGCAGGUACAGGGGGAAGGUGAGCAGCAGACUUGGAC